rnacentral:rRNA from 1 species
GUGCCAGCCACCGCGGUAAUACCGGCAGCUCGGGUGAUGUCCAAUAUUAUUGGGCCUAAAGCGUCCGUAGCUGGCCGCGCAAGUCCGUCGGGAAAUCCACCUGCCCAACAGGUGGGCGUCCGGCGGAAACUGUGUGGCUUGGAACCGGAAGGCUCAGAGGGUACGUCCGGGGUAGGAGUGAAAUCCCGUAAUCCCGCACGGACCACCGAUGGCGAAAGCACCUCGAGAAGACGGCUCCGACGGUGAGGGACGAAAGCCAGGGUCUCGAACCGGAUUAGAAACCCCGGUAGUCC